GUUAGCUGCAUUCAAACCAUGGGUCACAACCAUUCCUGACUUGUGUAAUCAAUUCAGUGGUUAACCAGCAUGGUUUUUGGUUUGGUUUCUGUUUUUAAUUUUAAAUACAGUGAACAUUGUAGGAUAAGAGUCAUAAAAUUAUGCGUGUGUAUACCUGUGUAUGUACAUGUGUUUGUAUUCUGAGUUGCAACAAAAAAUAUUUCCAAUUGUGGGUUACAUUUAAAAGUUGUGGCCAGGUACAGUGGCUUACACCUGUAAUCCCAGCUGCCCAGGAAGCCAAGACAAGAAAGUUGCAAGUUCAAGGUCAGCCUCAGGGAGACCCAGUCAAAAUAAUAAAAAAGGACUGGAGGUGUGGCUCAGUGGUAGAGACCCCUGGGUUAAAUCCUGGUUGGGGCCAGCGGGUGAGGGUAUGAAGCCAUUGAAGACAGAUGGUGUUGUGUGACCAACUUGGAGAGGCAUAUUUAUGUGGGCUGCCGAGUGAGGUUCUGACUUUCUUCACCCAAGAAAGGGUGAAAGAGCCUGUGCAGAGUACAUGCUUGACCUCCUCUGGAGCCUCAGUUCUGAUACAUUCAUUUUGGGGAACUGUUGAAUUUUUUACAGGUCUCAGCUCAUGCGUCAGCCAAGUCAUACAUCCCCAAAAGAGGUGUAGGUGUAGGCGUUGCCCUCCUAACAGGAGCCAGCCAUUUCUGUUCUCUCAAGCUUGAAUUAUCACUGCUCCUCUGCAAACCUCUAGCUUAAGAAUUCUGCCUUCAGGACACCUUUAUAAGCCACCCAAAAUUCCAAAUUAAGUGCCCCAGGUCCUUUUUAUGUAUCAUAUUCACUUGGAAUAUUUUCUUCUUUCCAGACUCAAAGUUGACAUUCCUUGAAUGUUUGUCCGCUUAAUUACUGAAGAAUUUGUGUGUGGGUACACAGGCCGGGUUCUGUCUUGAAUACUUUGAUGAGCUUGUUGAGGUUGAAUAUAAUACAAGAGUGCUCAUCUGGGAGCAUGCCACAUGAAUGGAAAAUUGUAACCCUGGGUGCUCUUUGCUUUGUUCCCCUCUAUGUCUUUUCUGACUUUGAAAGCAGCUCAUGGAGAGUAAGGCUUUCUGGUACAAUUGGGAAAACAAUGGGCAGAGAGAGAAGACGCCAGUUCUAGUCCCAGUUCUACAAAACCAUCUGGAUGAGCUUUGGACUCUGUUACAGCCUCUCAGAACUUCUAUUUCCCUAUUUGCCAAGUGUCAGUACUAAUGGCCAUCUCCUCACAGAGUGCUGUAAAGGAAGGACUGAUAGACAGCCAUGGCCUUGAAUGAGGUCCCAUCUGAAUGGACACAGCAAAUCUGUCAUUUCUGGGCAUCUCCUAUAGCAUGCUCUGCCUCCUGUCCCAGCUCUCUUUGACACACUUCAGAUGAUAUCCAGGAAGGACAUGCAGGAUUCCCAAAGCAGGCUGCCUCAGUUGGCUAUCACUGCUUUUGCUAAGGAGGUCUGGUGAGGGGCCAUCAUAGCCUCCUGAGUCCAUGACCCACGCAGGGUCCCUCAAGACUUGUAUCUAUAAGGUCCAUUUAUUGAAAUAGCCUUUUUGUUCUGAUUAGAAAAAUAACACCCAUUCAUUGGUAAAAACCCAGAGCAUGUUGGACGCAGUAGUGCACACCUAUAAUCCCAGUGGCUUGGGAGGCUGAGAUAGGAGCAUCAUGAGUUCAAAGCCAGUCUCAGAAAAAAGCGAGGUGCUAAGCAACUCAGUGAGAUCCUGUCUCUAAAGAAAAUACAAAAUAGGGCUGGUGAUGUAGCUCAGUGGUCAAGUGCCCCUGAGUUUAAUCCCUAGUCAAAAAAAAAAAAAAACCUGGAACAUAUGGGAAAGUCUAUAGAGAUAAAUAGAUCAUCUAAAAUCCCAUUCUGAAGGUAAUUUCGGGUUCCAUGAGAAUGUCAUGUUCACCUUUGCUUUCUUCCCUUGACACCAGAAGGAAUGUUCCAGUGUCAUGUAAAAAUGUAUGCACACCAUUUUUUAUGGUUGCCUAGUGUUCUGACUUACAGACUCAUUUACUUCACCUACAUCAUUGGACAUUGUUUCCAACUUUUCGUUAUUAUAUUAUAAUUCAGUGUUCAGAUUGUUACUGC
rnacentral:lncRNA from 1 species